AGAGUUUGAUUAUGGCUCAGAACGAACGCUGGCGGCGUGGAUAAGACAUGCAAGUCGAACGGGAUUUAAUUUGUAGCAAUACCGAUUAGACUCUAGUGGCGAACGGGUGCGUAACACGUGAGUAAUCUGCCGGGAAGUGGGGGAUAACUCGUCGAAAGGCGAAUUAAUACCGCAUAUGGCCAGGAAGGACAUCCUUCUGAAGCCAAAGCAGCAAUGCGCUUCCUGAUGAACUCGCGGCCUAUCAGCUAGUUGGUGAGGUAAUGGCUCACCAAGGCUAUGACGGGUAGCUGGUCUGAGAGGACGACCAGCCACACUGGAACUGAGACACGGUCCAGACACCUACGGGUGGCAGCAGUCGAGAAUUUUUCACAAUGGGGGCAACCCUGAUGGAGCGACGCCGCGUGGAGGAUGAAGGUCUUCGGAUUGUAAACUCCUGUCAAACGGGAACAAGAAAGUGAUAGUACCGUUAGAGGAAGAGACGGCUAACUCUGUGCCAGCAGCCGCGGUAAUACAGAGGUCUCAAGCGUUGUUCGGAUUCAUUGGGCGUAAAGGGUGCGCAGGCUGUGGGGUAAGUC
rnacentral:rRNA from 1 species